UACAUAAAUUGAUAAAAAAGUAAUGAAAAGUGUAAAUAACAAAGAAAUGUACAAUGCAUACUUGCAUAGUAUUAAAGAUGAAAGAUUGUUCAUCGCUUUGGCCACCAGGUGGCCCUAAAACACCAGAUUCAAGUAAUGAACCCUUUCUGAUCAACUUCAGUGGAAAGCGAUCUGACGUCAUUGAUCAGAAGAACAGCAGCAGCUGCAGUAGCCACGCCCAUCAGAGCAGUGACCACCAAUCGCAUCACAGCUUCAACUGUAUCACAACAAUGGAUGUAGACUUCUGAGAGAUUCACAUGACCCACAUUCACCACUGAAC